rnacentral:rRNA from 1 species
UACGUAGGGGGCAAGCGUUGUCCGGAUUCAUUGGGCGUAAAGAGCUCGUAGGCGGCUUGUUGCGUCGGCUGUGAAAACCCGUGGCUUAACUGCGGGCUUGCAGCUGAUACGGGCGGGCUGGAGUUCGGUAGGGGAGACUGGAAUUCCUGGUGUAGCGGUGAAAUGCGCAGAUAUCAGGAGGAACACCGGUGGCGAAGGCGGGUCUCUGGGCCGAUACUGACGCUGAGGAGCGAAAGCGUGGGGAGCGAACAGG